rnacentral:rRNA from 1 species
CGGGGUGCAGCAGGCGCGAAAACUCUACAAUGCAGGCAACUGCGAUAGGGGAACAUCGAGUGAUCCUCAUAUUGGGGGUCUGUCCACCCGUCUAAAAAACGGGUGUUAGCAAGGGCCGGGCAAGACCGGUGCCAGCCGCCGCGGUAAUACCGGCGGCUCGAGUGGUGGCCGAUAUUAUUGAGUCUAAAGGGUCCGUAGCCGGCUUUGCAAGUCUCUCGGGAAAUCCAGCGGCUUAACCGUUGGUCGUCCGGGGGGUACUACAUUGCUUGGGACUGGGAGAGGUAGGAGGUACUCAGGGGGUAGGAGUGAAAUCCUGUAAUCCUUUGGGGACCACCGGUGGCGAAGGCGUCCUACCAGAACAGGUCCGACGGUGAGGGACGAAAGCUAGGGGCACGAACCGGAUUAGAUACCCGGGUAGUCCUAGCCGUAAACGAUGCUCGCUAGGUGUCACAACAGUCGUGAACUGUUGUGGUGCCGUAGGGAAGCCGUGAAGCGAGCCACUUGGGAAGUACGACCGCAAGGGUGAAACUUAAAG